UUCAUCAGCCAUCUCUCC
rnacentral:tRNA from 1 species